rnacentral:rRNA from 1 species
AUUGAACGCUGGCGGCAGGCCUAACACAUGCAAGUCGAGCGGAUGAGGGUAGCUUGCUAUCUGAUUCAGCGGCGGACGGGUGAGUAAUGCCUAGGAAUCUGCCUGGUAGUGGGGGACAACGUCUCGAAAGGAACGCUAAUACCGCAUACGUCCUACGGGAGAAAGUGGGGGAUCUUCGGACCUCAUGCUAUCAGAUGAGCCUAGGUACGAUUAGCUAGUUGGUGAGGUAAAGGCUCACCAAGGCGACGAUCGUUAACUGGUCUGAGAGGAUGAUCAGUCACACUGGAACUGAGACACGGUCCAGACUCCUACGGGAGGCAGCAGUGGGGAAUAUUGGACAAUGGGCGAAAGCCUGAUCCAGCCAUGCCGCGUGUGUGAAGAAGGUCUUCGGAUUGUAAAGCACUUUAAGUUGGGAGGAAGGGCAGUAAGUUAACACCUUGCUGUUUUGACGUUACCGACAGAAUAAGCACCGGCUAACUUCGUGCCAGCAGCCGCCGUAACAC